rnacentral:lncRNA from 1 species
CAUUCGCACAUGCUUGUGAGGGUCGCUCCCUACAAGCCGGCACUCCGGAGUUAGCCUACGCGACUUAUGUUCGCUCGUGCGAUAUUGAGAAGCCUACGGGGUCGAGUGGGACAGACACAUUCCAAGAGUAGGGAUGUUGGGCUACCACAGGCACUUAGGCGGCACAAGCUGGACUACCUUUGGUAGGUCCUUAAUUGGAAAUGGAAAUCGAUACGGUGUUGAGAAUGGAUAAUCACUACUAGAUAGGUUUAGUAGUUGAGUUACAUUUAUAUGUUUUUAGCAUAGUGUUGAGACAUGUAGUAUACUUGACAGUUACCUAUUUCAUCACAGUAUGCUUGGUUGCCAUGAUAGAGCUUAUACAUCAUGUAUGAAUAAAGGAUUGUAACAGUAAACUAUUGCCAUUGGUUAUUUUUCCUUAUGAU